UCCCAGCAGUCCAAGUCGCAACCACAUUUGUUGGGUCUAAAACAUCCGUAGCUUGCUUUGUAAGUCUCCUGUGAAAUCCGGCCUCUCAAGGGUCGAAGUGCAGGAGAUACUGCAAAGCUGGAGACCGGGAGAUGUAUCGAGUACGCAUAGGGUAGCGGUAAAAUGUGUUGAUCCUAUGUGGACUAACAACAGCGAAGGCACGAUACAAGCACGGUUCUGACAGUGAGGGAUGAAGGCUAGGGGCGCAAAG
rnacentral:rRNA from 1 species